rnacentral:tRNA from 1 species
CCGACCUUAGCUCAGUUGGUAGAGCGGAGGACUGUAGUAUGGUUAACAGAUUAAUCCUUAGGUCGCUGGUUCGAAUCCGGCAGGUCGGA